rnacentral:rRNA from 1 species
CUUAACACAUGCAAGUCGAGCGGAGAUGAGGUGCUUGCACCUUAUCUUAGCGGCGGACGGGUGAGUAAUGCUUAGGAAUCUGCCAUUUAGUGGGGGACAACAUUCCGAAAGGGAUGCUAAUACCGCAUACGUCCUACGGGAGAAAGCAGGGGAUCUUCGGACCUUGCGCUAAAUGAUGAGCCUAAGUCGGAUUAGCUAGUUGGUGGGGUAAAGGCCUACCAAGGCGACGAUCUGUAGCGGGUCUGAGAGGAUGAUCCGCCACACUGGGACUGAGACACGGCCCAGACUCCUACGGGAGGCAGCAGUGGGGAAUAUUGGACAAUGGGCGGAAGCCUGAUCCAGCCAUGCCGCGUGUGUGAAGAAGGCCUUAUGGUUGUAAAGCACUUUAAGCGAGGAGGAGGUUACUGAGACUAAUACUCUUGGAUAGUGGACGUUACUCGCAGAAUAAGCACCGGCUAACUCUGUGCCAGCAGCCGCGGUAAUACAGAGGGUGCGAGCGUUAAUCGGAUUUACUGGGCGUAAAGCGUGCGUAGGCGGCUUUUUAAGUCGGAUGUGAAAUCCCCGAGCUUAACUUGGGAAUUGCAUUCGAUACUGGGAAGCUAGAGUAUGGGAGAGGAUGGUAGAAUUCCAGGUGUAGCGGUGAAAUGCGUAGAGAUCUGGAGGAAUACCGAUGGCGAAGGCAGCCAUCUGGCCUAAUACUGACGCUGAGGUACGAAAGCAUGGGGAGCAAAC